GCAGAGGUUGCCGAGUCUGGUCAAAGGUGCUGGACUCAGAAUCCAGUCCUUAGUGGUUCGGGGGUUCAAAUCCCUCCCUCUGCA
rnacentral:tRNA from 1 species